GAAAUGCGAUAAGUAGUGUGAAUUGCAGACUUUAGUGAAUCAUCGAAUCUUUGAACGCACAUUGCGCCCCUUGGUAUUCCAUUGGGCAUGCCUGUUCGAGCGUCAUUUACACCCUCAAGCUACGCUUGGUGUUGGGCGUCUGUCCUCGCUUUCCGCGAGGACUCGCCCCAAAUUCAUUGGCAGCGGCAUCGCCGGCUUCUCGCGCAGCACAUUGCGCUUGAGAAGGUCCCCGGUGGGCUCGCAUCCAGCAAGAACCCCCCCAGUUUGACCUCGAAUCAGGUAGGGAUACCCGCUGAACUUAA
rnacentral:misc_RNA from 1 species